AGGACGAACGCUGGCGGCGUGCUUAACACAUGCAAGUCGAACGGAAAGGCCCGCUUGCGGGUACUCGAGUGGCGAACGGGUGAGUAACACGUGGGCAACCUGCCCUCAGCUUCGGGAUAACAUUUGGAAACAGGUGCUAAUACCGGAUAAUAACCUUUCAUCGCAUGGUGUGGGGUUCAAAGUUUUUCGGCUGGGGAUGGGCCCGCGGCCUAUCAGCUUGUUGGUGGGGUAAUGGCCUACCAAGGCGACGACGGGUAGCCGGCCUGAGAGGGCGACCGGCCACACUGGGACUGAGACACGGCCCAGACUCCUACGGGAGGCAGCAGUGGGGAAUAUUGCGCAAUGGGCGGACGCCUGACGCAGCGACGCCGCGUGAGGGAUGACGGCCUUCGGGUUGUAAACCUCUUUCAGCUCUGACGAAGCGCAAGUGACGGUAGGAGCAGAAGAAGCACCGGCCAACUACGCGCCAGCAGCCGC
rnacentral:rRNA from 1 species